rnacentral:rRNA from 1 species
UACCAGCACCCCGAGUGGUCGGGACGAUUAUUGGGCCUAAAGCAUCCGUAGCCGGUCCUACAAGUCUUCCGUUAAAUCCACCUGCUUAACAGAUGGGCUGCGGAAGAUACUAUAGGGCUAGGAGGCGGGAGAGGCAAGCGGUACUCAGUGGGUAGGGGUAAAAUCCUCUGAUCCAUUGAAGACCACCAGUGGCGAAGGCGGCCUGCCAGAACGCGCCCGACGGUGAGGGAUGAAAGCUGGGGGAGCAAACCGG